rnacentral:sRNA from 1 species
GAAGCUGGCGGAGCAGGAGGAUGGGCGAGCAGUCUGAAUGCCAGAAUGGAUAACCGUUUUGCUACAGCAUUUGUAAUUGCUUGUGUGCUUAGCCUCAUUUCCACCAUCUACAUGGCAGCCUCCAUUGGCACAGACUUCUGGUAUGAAUAUCGAAGUCCAGUUCAAGAAAAUUCCAGUGAUUUGAAUAAAAGCAUCUGGGAUGAAUUCAUUAGUGAUGAGGCAGAUGAAAAGACUUAUAAUGAUGCACUUUUUCGAUACAAUGGUACAGUGGGAUUGUGGAGACGGUGUAUCACCAUACCCAAAAACAUGCAUUGGUAUAGCCCACCAGAAAGGACAGAGUCAUUUGAUGUGGUCACAAAAUGUGUGAGUUUCACACUAACUGAGCAGUUCAUGGAGAAAUUUGUUGAUCCCGGAAACCACAAUAGCGGGAUUGAUCUACUUAGGACCUAUCUUUGGCGUUGCCAGUUCCUUUUACCUUUUGUGAGUUUAGGUUUGAUGUGCUUUGGGGCUUUGAUCGGACUUUGUGCUUGCAUUUGCCGAAGCUUAUAUCCCACCAUUGCCACGGGCAUUCUCCAUCUCCUUGCAGGUAGGUUUUGUCAUCAUACUUACCUUUAAGCUUCUUCCUGUCUCUUUAGGGACCAAAGAGUUACAAAUCUUAAAUGUUCAUGUAUUAACUGCCCUGUCACACUGCCUGAAAAGCUCUUUACUGUGCUUUUACCCAGCCAUGUUUUGUUUUGUUUUCUAAAUUUUCCCCCAAGGUCUGUGUACACUGGGCUCAGUAAGUUGUUAUGUUGCUGGAAUUGAACUACUCCACC